GAGUUCAAUGAUGUUGAUCAAGCGAAUGAUCUAUCUAUUAUAGUUGGGAUCGGACGCGAACUAAUUAUGUUGCUUAAGUGUAUUUUAGUUUUGUUUUUUUAAUGCUAGUUGCGAUUGUAUUUGUUGUAGCCAAGCUUUCCUAAAUUAAUCAACUAUGUAUCUUAGACAUGUUGUGCAAUAAGAUGAGAAACUAUAUGUGUGCAUGGUUUUCAUAAUAUAUAUGUUAUCUUUAAUGCAGAUGGUAACACGUAAUUGGAUGUAU
rnacentral:lncRNA from 1 species